rnacentral:sRNA from 1 species
CCCAGGCGCUCAUUAAAACAGCAGGUUGCUCCACACUGCCUCGUGUUGUCUGUUGGCACGCUCUCAGAGUUUGAAUGGAUACCAGAACCUUUCAUCUGGUGCCGAAACCCAGGAGGGGCUCCGGUCCUCGUCCCCCAUCGACCUACCCCUCCACCCCAGAAAGCAGGCCACAGCAGCUGGACAAAGAAAGCUCCUCAGCCUCCAGUUGCUUCUCUGCGCAUGCACAUCAGUCACUGAUCUCACCUACUGGCCCAGUCCCAAGGCGCAAGGCCACUUGUGCCAGCAGCGUGAGUCAGAAGCAGGAAGAGAGCCGGCCAGAAGACACCUACUCUGGCUGGAAGACACGUACCCCUGAAGAUUGAGAAAGAGGCCAUCCAGGGAGUGAAGAUGGAAUGAGAAGAACAGAGAAAGAAUGACAGAGUCCUUACAAACACCAUGAUACAAGAAGGCAAUGGGGAUAUGUUAUCCUAAAAGAAUCCUAAAAGAAGUGAUCAAAAAGGCAAACAGAAAACCAGGUGGGAGUACUGUCACUGAGGAUGAGUUUCCAGAGAGAAUUAAUGCUGAAGAAGUAUUGCAGACACUGCUGAGUAUGAAGAACUAAUUGGAGAAGGAAGCCAUUGUAUAGGAGAUGCAGAGCAGCAGCAAAAAUGGUAAUGAAAAUAGAAGAUAAAUUAGAAAAUUUGGAAAAACCCAAACAGAUCAGCCAUAUUGAAGGGAAAAAGAAAAACAAAACAAAGUGGGAGAGGGCAGAAAUGUAGAACGGUGUACAUUCUUUUAACCCCAAGAAUGAAUAUAGCCAAGAACACAGUGGGGACUUAGGAGUCUCAGCACAGAGCAUUCUCUACUCCCUACUGCUCAGGCAAAGAACUCUUUCAUGAUGCAGAACCAAAACUGGUGUAGAGUCUUAAAUGACCUGGGUAUCUCUAUGUGGAAGAAAGUGCUUUCCAUGUAAAAGGAUUAACUUGAACCUGGGUGCUCAAGGGACACCCUAGGCUGCUUAUCCCACUGAUUCUGAUCUGACUAUGUUAAGUAAUAAAUCAUGUGGUUACAUAUUCACGUUA